AUUGAACGCUGGCGGCAUGCUUUACACAUGCAAGUCGAACGGUAACAGCACUUCGGUGGCUGACGAGUGGCGUACGGGUGAGUAAUCCUCCGGAAGUUUCCUAGUAAUGGGGGUAAAUUCCUGAAAAGAUUGGCUAAUACCCCAGGAGUCUAAAGGUUUAAGCCGGGGAACUUCCGGCCUUGGGUUACCUAGGUGGGCGGAUGACAGAUUAGGUAGUCGGGGGGUAAAAGGUUUACCAAGCGGACGAUCUGUAGCGGGUCUGAGAGGACGACCAGCCACACUGGGACUGAGACACGGCCCAGACUCCUACGGGAGGCAGCAGUGGGGAAUUUUGGACAAUGGGCGCAAGCCUGAUCCAGCAAUGCCGCGUGCAGGAUGAAGGCCUUCGGGUUGUAAACUGCUUUUGUACGGAACGAAAAGCCCUCUUCUAAUACAGGAGGGUCAUGACGGUACCGGAAGAAUAAGCACCGGCUAACUACGUG
rnacentral:rRNA from 1 species